UGAGUAUAUAUAUAUAUAUAUAUAUUUGACCAUAAGAUAAAAUUGCAAUGUACCACACACAUGCUGCCACAACAAUGUCAUCAUGCAGAACUCAUAAUUACAAAUAAUUCAUCCUUGAAAUGCUGAUCUUUCAGGUAAUAAUUGCUACAUCAUGUGAAAUGGGAUAAAAAAAAACAGCGAACAGGCCAAAAUAUAACGUACAAUAAACAGUGGGAAGUCACGUCCCACGAAAAAUCUUGCACUGUCAUCAAAGCCCAGCCUCAACUUCAAUGAGGUCUGCUCAUC
rnacentral:misc_RNA from 1 species